GGGGGCAGGGUGGAUGAGGUAAUACCAGGUUGCGACAGGUCCACACGACUAGCUCAGUCAACGAGACCACCUGCUCAAAUGCAAUCUGUGUGUAUGACACUGUGCGAUGUGCAGAAGGAACUUCCGUGACUUCGUGGGCCUUAAGGAAUGGAGCCAUCGGAGGAAACCAACCGAACAAAGUGCUUGAACAAUUCAUGUGACUAACAAAUGCACUCGUUGAAUAUUUCUUGCACUCAUGUAUUCAAAAAUAUUUAUAGAGUGGGCACCUUGGCCAUAUUUUUUUCUAAGUACUGAACUUAGCAAGGUAAGAGUCAUAUUUGACAUGGGCAGAAGAGUUUCCAGGGAAAAGAGGUGCCUGGCCGGAACAGUUUCAAGAGGAAAAUGGAGAAGAGAAACAAGAGAUGGGAAGAUGGCACAAAGUCUUUCAAGGAGUUUUGCUGUUAAGAAGGACAAAAGCCAUGGCAGUGCUGGAAGUAAACCAUUUAAAGGACAUUUGGACAUCCUUGUUUCUCCUGAUUCAUAGCACAGAAGCAGAAUGUGCUGUUCUCCAUAACCAUGGAGAAAAUUUAUUCCCCACUGACCUGCCCACUGAAAUCAUGUCCUCGACGCAGCUGCACGCGGUUAGAAUUGGAUCCUCCCACCUCCCCCAAGAACACCCAUCUCU
rnacentral:lncRNA from 1 species